GGUUGUAUAGUGUAGCGGUUAGCACGUGAGAUUCUGAUACUCAAGCUCCUUCUCGAGUCCCCGGUUCGAACCCGGGUACGACCU